AGCAGUGGCCGGUGACAGUUCACAUCGUGGCCGCUCCAGGCUCAUCAGUUGAGAACUUACUAUGUGCUGGGCACUGUGUUAAGGAAAAUACAUAUUAGCAAACUCUUUCAACCAGCCAGUGUUGCGCUAAAGCUGCUGCUUGCCUCUUCCUUUUCAUGCUACCAAAGCGGAGUUCAGCACAACAGAAACAGAUGGACAGAAAGUUUCAGAAGACAUGGGAUUUUAAAAACCACCGAUCUGUUAGGAAACAGCCUUGUUUCCUCAUUUCCACGGAACAAUACUGUUCUGCAGGAUGACCAAGUGAACACUGCAAUUACUGGGAGGUUUUAUAGACACCAUAAAAUUGUAAAACUGCAGAGGUGAUUUCAGUAAUUUAUUGCUGGCUUCUUCAGCUCCCAGACCAAGUUGUAUACAGCCACUAAAUCUGAAGUCUCAUACAACGUUCAAAGGCACAGGAAUGUGAAACAUCGCGUUAUGCUCAGGGAAAUCCUUGUGAGUGGAGCAUCGAUGAAUGAGUUAAGAAGCAGUGGGAGGUCGGGCCAGAAAUGUUGGAAAGGCAACAAUCAGUGUGGCUUCGUGUACAGGAAACUCAUGGCUGGGUUUGAUUUCUCAUAACAGAGCCACAAAUGGGCUGUGUACAGACAUCUUUGGUCUUAAUAGGCAUGGAAUGAGGUCUGUCCUCUUCUAGUCAUUUCUGCCUCAAAAACAAACAGCUAAGCAGCACUUUAUUGCUGGCAUCUAACAGCCUUGGUCCUGAAUCAUUGGCCAUGCACCAUGCCUCAAAGAAUCUCAGCUUCUCAUUUUGUGAUGCAUCUUCCAGUUGAUACCUCAGCUGGCCACUUGUACUUCCUGUCUGACCCAGCUGUCCUCAGUCAACAUCCAGCCUUGCCCACCCGGCCCUCUGCAGACUCUGCUUUGGUCCAGAGUUAGGGAGCACUCCCCCUGGGUCACCAUAGACCCUGGGCCAUAAUUUGGUGGAGCACUCCAGAAAUGUAAAACCUUUUGGUCAAAUCUGACAGGUAUUCUAUUUCCAGGACAAAAUUAAUGAGAGAAUUUCUUUUUCUAUACUGAACUUUACUGCCAUGUUGUUAAGGAACUUCCAUAUGCUUAACUUUCUACUGUAUUGGCUGUAGUUGACAAUUUGGAAAACAACUUACUUAAAGAAAAUAGGGGCUUUAAAAAUCCUAUUUCUAAUAAUCAAGAAAGAGGCAUUUUUUUCCUUUAACUUUCCUAUUAAACUUUUUAACCACCCCAGUUUCAAGAAUCUUCAACAUACAAUUAGAUCUUUUAUUAUUUGGUGAUGUUGGGUGUCAGCAAUCUGUGCUUCUACAAAUAAAGCUAAAUGUUCAUCACAGCCACAUAUCACUGAUUUCUAAAUCCAGCUUCCUUUCCAGAUUCCCUUUCUACCCUCCUCUCUGCUGCUGUGUGUCCUGGGAGGCUGACCUGC
rnacentral:lncRNA from 1 species